GAUGAACGCUGGCGGCGUGCCUAAUACAUGCAAGUCGAGCGAACGGACGAGAAGCUUGCUUCUCUGAUGUUAGCGGCGGACGGGUGUGUAACACGUGGAUAACCUACCUAUUAGACUAGCAUCCCUUCGCGAAACCGGAGCUACUACCGACUAAUAUUUUUACCCGAUUGCUUAAAAAGUAGACGACGGUCUUGCUGUAACUUAUCGAUGGAUCCGCACUGCAUUAGCUAGUAGGUAAGGUAACGGCUUACCACGGCACCGAUGCAUAGCCGACCUGAGAGGGUGAACGGCCACACUGGAACUGAGACACGGUCCAGACUCCUACGCGAGGCAGCAGUAGGGAAUCUUACGCGAGGGGCGAAAGGCUGACGGAGCAACGCCGCGUGAGUGAUGAAGGUCUUCGGAUCGUAAAACUCUGUUAUUAUGGAAGAACAUAUGUGUAAGUAACUGUGCACAACUUGACGGUACCUAAUCAGAAAGCCACGGCUAACUACGUG
rnacentral:rRNA from 1 species